GCAUAUCAAUAAGCGGAGGAAAAGAAACCAACAGGGAUUGCCCUAGUAACGGCGAGUGAAGCGGCAACAGCUCAAAUUUGAAAGCUGGCCUUCGGGUCCGCGUUGUAAUUUGCAGAGGAAGCUUUGGGCGCGGCGCUGUCUGAGUCCCCUGGAACGGGGCGCCAAAGAGGGUGAGAGCCCCGUAUAGACGGAUGCCUAGCCUGUGUAAAGCUCCUUCGACGAGUCGAGUAGUUUGGGAAUGCUGCUCAAAAUGGGAGGUAAAUUUCUUCUAAAGCUAAAUACCGGCCAGAGACCGAUAGCGCACAAGUAGAGUGAUCGAAAGAUGAAAAGCACUUUGAAAAGAGGGUUAAAUAGCACGUGAAAUUGUUGAAAGGGAAGCGCUUGUGACCAGACUUGCGCCGGGCUGAUCAUCCGGUGUUCUCACCGGUGCACUCUGCCCGGCUCAGGCCAGCAUCGGUUCUCGCGGGGGGAUAAAGGCUUAGGGAAUGUAGCUCCUCCGGGAGUGUUAUAGCCCUCUGCGUAAUACCCUCGCGGGGACCGAGGUCUGCGCUCUGCAAGGAUGCUGGCGUAAUGGUCAUCAGCGACCCGUCUUGAAACACGGACCAAGGAGUCAAGGUUUUGCGCGAGUGUUUGGGUGUCAAACCCGCACGCGUAAUGAAAGUGAACGUAGGUGAGAGCUUCGGCGCAUCAUCGACCGAUCCUGAUGUACUCGGAUGGAUUUGAGUAAGAGCGUUAAGCCUUGGACCCGAAAGAUGGUGAACUAUGCUUGGAUAGGGUGAAGCCAGAGGAAACUCUGGUGGAGGCUCGCAGCGGUUCUGACGUGCAAAUCGAUCGUCAAAUCUGAGCAUGGGGGCGAAAGACUAAUCGAACCAUCUAGUAGCUGGUUACCGCCGAAGU
rnacentral:rRNA from 1 species